rnacentral:rRNA from 1 species
UACGUAGGGCGCAAGCGUUGUCCGGAAUUAUUGGGCGUAAAGAGCUCGUAGGUGGCGUGUCGCGUCUGCCGUGAAAGCCCAUGGCUUAACUGUGGGUCUGCGGUGGAUACGGGCAGGCUGGAGGCUGGUAGGGGCAAGCGGAAUUCCUGGUGUAGCGGUGAAAUGCGCAGAUAUCAGGAGGAACACCUGUGGCGAAGGCGGCUUUCUGGGACGGUACUGACGCUGAGACGCGAAAGCGUGGGGAGCGAACAGG